rnacentral:rRNA from 1 species
CCUGAUCAGCCAUGCCGCGUGAGUGAAGAAGGCCUUCGGGUUGUAAAGCUCUUUCAGUCGGAAAGAAAAGAUUGCAACUAAUACUUGCAAUUCAUGACGGUACCGAAAUAAGAAGCACCGGCUAACUACGUGCCAGCAGCCGCGGUAAUA